CUGCAUUCUCUUAAACCCCCUGGUUAUUUUGUAUCACAAUGACCAGGACAAGAAGGAAUGCUAAAUGAAAGCUCCAGAGAAUUCCAAAGUGCUAAGCUUCACUUGUGCUUUUCGCUAUUUCACCACUCUGACACCU